GAUGAAGAACGUAGCGAAAUGCGAUAAGUAAUGUGAAUUGCAGAAUUCAGUGAAUCAUCGAAUCUUUGAACGCACAUUGCGCCCUCCAGUAUUCUGGCGGGCAUGCCUGUCCGAGCGUCAUUUCAACCAUCAAGCCCCCGGGCUUGUGUUGGGGACCUGCGGCUGCCCGCAGGCCCUGAAAACCAGUGGCGGGCUCGCUGUCACACCGAGCGUAGUAGCAAUCACCUCGCUCAGGGCGUGCUGCGGGUUCCGGCCGUUAAACAGCCUUACAAAACCCAAGGUUGACCUCGGAUCAGGUAGGAAGACCCGCUGAACUUAAGCAUAUCAAUAAGCGGAGGA
rnacentral:misc_RNA from 1 species